CAUAAAAUUAAUCCAACCAACGACUUUGAACUUUGAACAAGCCAUAUGGCCCCUUUCUUCUUUCGCUUUCUCCUAAUCUCCAUAGCCAUACGCUUUUCGUUUUCUUUCCAUUCUCCGAAUGAUAACUCCUUGAAUUCUCUUAAAUAUGCUUCCAUUAAAGACCGGAUUUUUGAGCUUGCUAAUGAUCAAGACACAUUGAAUUGGAUGAAGAAUAUCAGGAGAAAAAUUCACCAGAACCCUGAACUUGCAUUUCAAGAAUUCGAGACCAGUAAGCUUAUUCGGCAAGAACUUGAUCAGCUUGGUAUUUCCUAUCAAUGGCCCGUCGCAAGAACCGGUGUCGUGGCUGCAAUUGGGUCUGGUUUGCCCCCUUUUGUCGCUUUGAGAGCUGAUAUGGAUGCUUUGCCUAUUCAGG
rnacentral:misc_RNA from 1 species